UGUGCUAAAGAACAUACAGACACAGAG
rnacentral:piRNA from 1 species